rnacentral:rRNA from 1 species
UACGUAGGUGGCAAGCGUUGUCCGGAAUUAUUGGGCGUAAAGCGCGCGCAGGCGGCCUUUUAAGUCUGAUGUGAAAUCUUGCGGCUCAACCGCAAGCGGCCAUUGGAAACUGGGAGGCUUGAGUACAGAAGAGGAGAGUGGAAUUCCACGUGUAACGGUGAAAUGCGUAGAUAUGUGGAGGAACACCAGUGGCGAAGGCGACUCUCUGGUCUGUAACUGACGCUGAGGCGCGAAAGCGUGGGGAGCAAACAGG